CUUUCUUAUAACGUUACAGCUAAAGGUUUUACUUAACCAAUUCCCUUCAAACGCUCUUCCUCUCUAUCCUGCACAGUGGUGUGCUUUCAGCAGACUGCUAAGAACAACUUCAAGUCAGACUUUCUCCUUUUGGUCCCUCCUCCCGUUUUGAAAUUUUGUUUUUCGUUUCUAUAUAUAUCAAAAUGUUUAAAACUCAAAAAAAAAAUAAUCCCCCCCCCCCCCAAGGCUCCGCUAGAAAAGAAAAGGAAAAAGGAAACAAAAACCCUACGGGACCGUCCCCAGGAGCGCCGAGACCGCCAGUUAAUAAGCCCAGCCAGGUGAUCGGGGGGAGAGGCAGUUCGUAGCUCCCUGACCCCAAGGAGAACUUGACAACACCAGGGUGACUUUACAUAAAGGAGCUCGGAGGAAAAGGCUAAUGGAGUCCAAUCGAGAGCCGUCAGUUGCAUGCACGCAGACCUCGGUGGCAUUCGCUGUUGGAAUUGCUUCUUCAACAGUGACCUUGGGUGGGAGAGAGCCUGUCUGGAGCCGGACCCCCCGUAGCGGCCUCUUACCUCGACCCCCUGGCCUCCCACGGCGUCUCCAGUGGACCGUGUACUCCUAAAGACGUCCCCCACCGGCCAGCUGAGCCGCGCAUCUCCAGAGCCGCUCCCGCCCCUCGCCUCCCUCGCUACAGUCCCAGCGCUUUUUAAAACUUUGAGCGCAGCUUUUACGUGACUGGAGAGUCAUAAAUGCUCCUGCCCUUGUUCAGCCAACAUAGACACCCUUGCGUCCCCUUCACAUUUCAUGAAUUACGAGAAUAUA